AGGCUGAGACGUGAUGCCGAGCCGUUUUUGGUGAAGUGAGUGAUCCCAUGCUGUCGAGAAAAGCCUCUAGCGAGUUCGUGUGUGGCCAGUACCCUAAACCGACGCAGGUGGUCAGGUAGAGAAUACCGAGGCGUUCGGGUGAACCAUGGUUAAGGAACUCGGCAAAUUGUCCCCGUAACUUUGGGAGAAGGGGAGCCCUGUCUGGUGAAGGAGCUUUGCCUCUGGAGCUGGGUGGGGUCGCAGAUAGCGGGGGGAAGCGACUGUUUAUUAAAAACACAGGUCCGUGCGAAGUCGUAAGACGCUGUAUACGGACUGACGCCUGCCCGGUGCUGGAACGUUAAGAGGACUGGUUAGCGGGGGUUCGCCUUCGCGAAGCUGGGAAUCUAAGCGCCAGUAAACGGCGGUGGUAACUAUAACCAUCCUAAGGUAGCGAAAUUCCUUGUCGGGUAAGUUCCGACCUGCACGAAUGGCGUAACGACUUCCCCACUGUCUCAACCAUGGGCCCGGUGAAAUUGCACUACGAGUAAAGAUGCUCGUUUCGCGCAGCAGGACGGAAAGACCCCGGGACCUUCACUAUAGCUUGACAUUGGUGUUUGGGAUGGUUUGUGUAGGAUAGGUGGGAGCCGGUGAAGCCGCCACGCUAGUGGUGGUGGAGGCGUUGGUGAAAUACCACUCUGACUGUUUCGGGCAUCUAACCUUGGGCCGUGAUCCGGUUCGGGGACAGUGUCUGGUGGGUAGUUUAACUGGGGCGGUUGCCUCCUAAAGGGUAACGGAGGCGCCCAAAGGUUCCCUCAGCCUGGUUGGUAAUCAGGUGUUGAGUGUAAGUGCACAAGGGAGCUUGACUGUGAGACGGACGUGUCGAGCAGGAGCGAAAGCUGGGACUAGUGAUCCGGCACCGGCGUGUGGAAGCGGUGUCGCUCAACGGCUAAAAGGUACCCCGGGGAUAACAGGCUGAUCUUCCCCAAGAGUCCAUAUCGACGGGAUGGUUUGGCACCUCGAUGUCGGCUCGUCGCAUCCUGGGGCUGGAGUUGGUCCCAAGGGUUGGGCUGUUCGCCCAUUAAAGCGGCACGCGAGCUGGGUUUAGAACGUCGUGAGACAGUUCGGUCCCUAUCCGCUGUGCGCGUUGGAGACUUGAGAAGGGCUGUCCCUAGUACGAGAGGACCGGGACGGACGAACCUCUGGUGUGCCAGUUGUCCUGCCAAGGGCAUGGCUGGUUGGCUACGUUCGGGAGGGAUAACCGCUGAAAGCAUCUAAGCGGGAAGCUUGCUUCGAGAUGAGGUCUCCUGCCUCCUUUGAGAGGGUAAGGCUCCCUGUAGACGACGGGGUUGAUAGGCCGGGUGUGGAAGCCCUGUGAGGGGUGGAGCUGACCGGUACUAAUAGGUCGAGGGCUUGUCCGC
rnacentral:rRNA from 1 species